GUGCUCACUUGGGCAGCACAUAUACUAAAAUUGGAAUGAUACACAGAUGAUUAGCAUGUCCCUUGCUCAAGGAUGAAAUGAAAAUUCAUGAAGCAUUCCAUAUUUAA